UAAAAUAAUUAAGGGCACACAAAGGAUGCCUAGGUAGUAAGAGCCGAUGAAGGACGUGGUAAGCUGCGAUAAGCCUAGAUAAGUUGCAAUCGAACGUAAGAGUCUAGGAUUUCCGAAUGGAGCAAUCUAUUAAGAUGGAGUCUUAAUACGAAAGAGGGAACCGCGUGAACUGAAACAUCUAAGUAACGCGAGGAAAAGAAAGUAAAAACGAUACCCAAAGUAGCGGCGAGCGAAAUGGGUCAAGCCUAAACCUUAAAUAUGUCAAGGAUACAGCCGUUGUAUUUAAGGGGUUGAGGGACAGAGUAGUGAAGAACUGUAAGAUAUUCAAUAUAGUGUAUUGAUGAAUUGGAAUUGUCUGGAAAGGCGAACCGUAGAAGGUGAAAGUCCUGUACAAGUAAAUCCUUACACAUAUAACUCUGCUCCCAAGUAACAUGGAACACGAGGAAUUCUGUGUGAAUCUGUGAGGACCAUAUCUCAUAAGGCUAAAUACUCUUACUAACCGAUAGCGCAUAGUACCGUGAGGGAAAGGUGAAAAGAACCCCUGGAGGGGAGUGAAAUAGAACCUGAAAUUGUGUGCUUACAAGCGGUCAGAGCCAGUAAUGGUGAUGGCGUGCCUUUUGGAGAAUGAUCCUGCGAGUUACGUUAAACGGCGAGGUUAAGUAUAACGGAGCCGAAGGGAAACCAAGUCUUAAUAGGGCGAUUUAGUCGUUUGGCGUAGACGCGAAACCUGGUGAUCUAAACCUGUCCAGGAUGAAGCUGUGGUAAGACACAGUGGAGGUCCUAACCCACCGCCGUUGAAAAGUUGGGGGAUGAGGUAGGUUUAGGGGUGAAAAGCCAAUCGAACCAGGAGAUAGCUCGUUCUCUCCGAAAUGCAUCUAGGUGCAGCCUUGAGUGUUCAAUUAUGGGGGUAGAGCACUGAAUGAUCUAGGGGGCGUAUUGCUUACUGAAAUCAAUCAAACUCCGAAUACCAUAAUUUAUAGCUCAGGAGUGAGACUAUGGGAGUUAACUUCCAUUGUCGAAAGGGAAACAACCCAGACCACCAGCUAAGGUCCCUAAUUAUAACUAAGUGGGAAAGGAGGUGGAGAUUCACAAACAACUAGGAGGUUGGCUUAGAAGCAGCCAUACCUUUAAAGAGUGCGUAAUAGCUCACUAGUCGAGAGUCUCUGCGCCGACAAUGUAACGGGGCUAAGUUAUAAACCGAAGCUGUGGAAUCCGUAAGGAUUGGUAGGAGAGCGUUCUGUAGGCCGUUGAAGGAGAAGGGUAACCGACUCUGGAGGUAUCAGAAGUGAGAAUGCAGGAAUAAGUAGCGAGAAAGGGGGCGAGAAUCCCCCUCGCCGGAAGACCAAGGUUUUCAGGGUAAAGCUUGUCUUCCCUGAGUAAGCCGGGACCUAAGCCCAGGCUAUAAUGCGUAGGCGAAUGGAAAACAGAUUAAUAUUUCUGUGCCAGUCAUAUAUUGUGAUGGAGGGACGCAGAAGGGUAUGCGCGCGGACGAACGGAAGUGUCCGUAGAAGUAUGUAGGAUGACUUGAUAGGAAAAUCCAUUGAGUUAUAUCUGAGGUAUGAUAUACAGUCGUAAGAUGAAUGCGCAAAUCCCACGCUGCCAAGAAAAGCUUCUAACGUUAAUAUUUGACUGCCCGUACUGCAAACCGACACAGGUGGUCAGGAUGAGAAAUCUAAGGCGGACAGGCUAACUCUCGUUAAGGAACUCUGCAAAAUAACCUCGUAACUUCGGGAGAAGAGGAGCCCUUGAGGGUCAGUAUCCACGCGAUACAAAGCGCUCGAGGGUCGCAGUGAAGAGGCUCAAGCAACUGUUUAACAAAAACACAGGUCUAUGCUAAGCUGGAAGGCGAUGUAUAUGGGCUGACACCUGCCCAGUGCUGGAAGGUUAAGAGGAGGAGUGAGAGCUCCGAAUUGAAGCCCCAGUGAACGGCGGCCGUAACUAUAACGGUCCUAAGGUAGCGAAAUUCCUUGUCGGGUAA
rnacentral:rRNA from 1 species